AUAGCCGUGUGCUUCCUGCAGCUAAGGUGAGCUAUUUCUGUCUCUGCAGGGCAGAGAAACAGAGCAUAGCCACGCACUUCCUGCAGCUUAGCUCCUUCCUGCAUAUUCCUCCUGAACUUUUUCCCCAUCUUUGUUCCAAAUCUUCUUCCCCAUCUUCUCCAACUCCUUCUCCUUCUCUACCUCUUUCCCCUGUCUUUUUCUCUCAACUAUUACUCAUUGUUUACAUAUCUUCCGCAUCUCCUUCU